rnacentral:tRNA from 1 species
AUAUUUUUAGUAUAAUAAGUAUUAUAAAUUUAGAAUUUAUAGGUAGAAAAUAUA